ACCCUGAUCCAGCAAUGCCGCGUGAGUGAAGAAGGCCUUCGGGUUGUAAAGCUCUUUUGUCAGGGAAGAAAAGGUCGUGGCUAAUAUCCACGACUGCUGACGGUACCUGAAGAAUAAGCACCGGCUAACUACGUGCCAGCAGCCGCGGUAAUACGUAGGGUGCAAGCGUUAAUCGGAAUUACUGGGCGUAAAGCGUGCGCAGGCGGUUUCGUAAGUCUGUCGUGAAAUCCCCGGGCCUAACCUGGGAAUGGCGAUGGAGACUGCGAGGCUAGAGUUUGGCAGAGGGGGGUAGAAUUCCACGUGUAGCAGUGAAAUGCGUAGAGAUGUGGAGGAACACCGAUGGCGAAGGCAGCCCCCUGGGUCAAAACUGACGCUCAUGCACGAAAGCGUGGGGAGCAAACAGGAUUAGAUACCCUGGUAGUCCACGCCCUAAACGAUGUCUACUAGUUGUUGGGUCUUAAUUGACUUAGUAACGCAGCUAACGCGUGAAGUAGACCGCCUGGGGAGUACGGUCGCAAGAUUAAAACUCAAAGGAAUUGACGGGGACCCGCACAAGCGGUGGAUGAUGUGGAUUAAUUCGAUGCAACGCGAAAAACCUUACCUACCCUUGACAUGGCAGGAAUCCCGAAGAGAUUUGGGAGUGCUCGAAAGAGAACCUGCACACAGGUGCUGCAUGGCUGUCGUCAGCUCGUGUCGUGAGAUGUUGGGUUAAGUCCCGCAACGAGCGCAACCCUUGUCAUUAGUUGCUACGCAAGAGCACUCCAAUGAGACUGCCGGUGACAAACCGGAGGAAGGUGGGGAUGACGUCAAGUCCUCAUGACCCUUAUGGGUAGGGCUUCACACGUCAUACAAUGGUACAUACAGAGGGCCGCCAACCCGCGAGGGGGAGCUAAUCCCAGAAAGUGUAUCGUAGUCCGGAUUGUAGUCUGCAACUCGACUACAUGAAGUUGGAAUCGCUAGUAAUCGCGGAUCAGCAUGUCGCGGUGAAUACGUUCCCGGGUCUUGUACACACCGCCCGUCACACCAUGGGAGCGG
rnacentral:rRNA from 1 species